rnacentral:rRNA from 1 species
CCGCGGGAUUAGAGUUUGAUCCUGGCUCAGAAUGAACGUUGGCGGCGUGGAUUAGGCAUGCAAGUCGUACGGGCCGCAAGGCCAGUGGCGCAAGGGUGAGUAAGGCGACGGUAACCAACCCCAUGACUGGGUAUAGCCGCGGGAAACUGCGGGUAAUCCCCAGCGACGUCCCGGGGGGGCAUCCCCUGGGGACCAAAGCUCCGGCGUCGUGGGACGGGCCGUCGUGGUAUUAGGUUGUUGGCGGGGUAAUGGCCCACCAAGCCUGCGAUGCCUACCGGGCGUGCGAGCGUGGCCCGGCACACUGGGACUGAGACACUGCCCAGACUCCUACGGGAGGCUGCAGUCGAGAAUCUUCGGCAAUGGGCGCAAGCCUGACCGAGCGACGCCGCGUGGAGGAUGAAGGCCUUCGGGUUGUAAACUCCUGUCGAGGGGGAAGAAGGGUCGAAAGACCUUGACUUAUCCCUGGAGGAAGCACGGGCUAAGUUCGUGCCAGCAGCCGCGGUAAGACGAACCGUGCGAACGUUAUUCGGAAUCACUGGGCUUAAAGCGCGUGUAGGCGGGACGGCACGUCGGUCGCUGAAAUCCCCCGGCUCAACCGGGGAACGGGCGCCGAUACGACCGCCCUGGAGGGACGUAGGGGGACCUGGAACUUCCGGUGGAGCGGUGAAAUGCGUUGAGAUCGGAAGGAACGCCCGUGGCGAAAGCGAGGUCCUGGACGUUUUCUGACGCUGAGACGCGAAAGCCAGGGGAGCGAACGGGAUUAGAUACCCCGGUAGUCCUGGCCGUAAACGAUGGGCACUGGGUAGGGGGCUCGCCGAUGGGCUCCCUGCCGUAGGGAAACCGUGAAGUGCCCCGCCUGGGGAGUAUGGUCGCAAGGCU